AUUGAACGCUGGCGGAAUGCUUACACAUGCAAGUCGAACGGUAGAGGGGGCAACCCCUCGAGAGUGGCGAACGAGUGAGUAAUAUAUCGGAACGUGCCCAGUCGUGGGGGAUAACGUAGCGAAAGUUACGCUAAGACCGCAUACGAUCUAAGGAGGAAAGCGGGGGAGCGCCAGACCUCGCGCGAUUGGAGCGGCCGAUAUCAGAUUAGGUAGUUGGUGGGGUAAAGGCUCACCAAGCCAACGAUCUGUAGCUGGUCUGAGAGGACGACCAGCCACACUGGAACUGAGACACGGUCCAGACUCCUACGGGAGGCAGCAGUGGGGAAUUUUGGACAAUGGACGCAAGUCUGAUCCAGCCAUUCCGCGUGCAGGAUGAAGGCCCUCGGGUUGUAAACUGCUUUUGUACGGAACGAAAAGGUCUCUCUUAAUACGGGGGGCUCAUGACGGUACCGUAAGAAUAAGCACCGGCUAACUACGUGCCAGCCGCCGCAGUAA
rnacentral:rRNA from 1 species